rnacentral:lncRNA from 1 species
AAAGCAAACAAAUUUAAAUGGCACAAAACAGCCAAACAAGAAAAUGAGCCAAAGAGAAAGCACAAGAAAUCCAUACAGCCGCCAAGACGCACAUCGGCACACACAGGGAUCCCACAAAAAUCACAAAACUAGAAGCCAUAAUGCAUAUGCAAAGGACAUAGACUGUUAAAAAAUGCCCGACUUAACAUUAUGAGACAAAGAACCUUCAAAGGUGCCACUGUCUUUGUUCUCCGUUGGCUGUCUACUCAGGGACUUGCGGCUGACCCUUAGGAGUGGUUUGCUUCCUCAGUGAGACUCACGUGGAAAAAGCAUUUGCAAGUGGCCAUCAAUCGGAGACUGCAGAGUCUUGGUUAGGGAUGCAGGGAGACCCAUCCCUCCAUCCCAGGCCCUAAUGCUCUACCUAACCUCUGUAGCUGUCAAGCUGAGAAUAUGGAUGGGAUGUUGAAGAGACUUGAUUGCCUCGAGCUGGCAGGACAGACUACUGGAGAGAUGGGAGACAACAUCUCAAGUCUGAAUUCAAAGGGAGACCUGCAGAAAUGUCCACUCUUGUGUACUCUGUAAAGCACUGAACUGUGUCUCAAUACCUUAGGCUGGGAAAGAAUCAAAUGG